GCGGGGUUAGCUCAGCUGGUUAGAGCAUCACGUUGACAUCGUGAGGGUCAGUAGUUCGAAUCUACUAUUCCGCA
rnacentral:tRNA from 1 species